AGCGAACGCUGGCGGUAGGCCUAACACAUGCAAGUCGAACGGCAGCACAGUAAGAGCUUGCUCUUACGGGUGGCGAGUGGCGGACGGGUGAGGAAUACAUCGGAAUCUACUUUUUCGUGGGCGAUAGCGUAGGGAAACUUACGCUAAUACCGCAUACGACCUACGGGUGAAAGCAGGGGAUCUUCGGACCUUGCGCGAUUGAAUGAGCCGAUGUCGGACUAGCUAGUUGGCGGGGUAAAGGCCCACCAAGGCGACGAUCCGUAGCUGGUCUGAGAGGAUGAUCAGCCACACUGGAACUGAGACACGGUCCAGACUCCUACGGGAGGCAGCAGUGGGGAAUAUUGGACAAUGGGCGCAAGCCUGAUCCAGCCAUACCGCGUGGGUGAAGAAGGCCUUCGGGUUGUAAAGCCCUUUUGUUGGGAAAGAAAAGCAGCAGGUUAAUACCCCGCUGUUCUGACGGUACCCAAAGAAUAAGCACCGGCUAACUUCGUG
rnacentral:rRNA from 1 species